GCUGCAGGCGGGUGACAGAUUUGGAUUAAACACCUCUGAUCUGGUCGUCGUCGAUUCGAUGCACCAAAAUAUUCAUCUUAUUUUUAUUUUUUUCAGGAGCAGACCACAAACAGCUGCUUUAAUGAGCCGCUGUUUGUUUGUUUUGUUGUGUCCGAGGUUCUUUUUCUGUGAGAUUUAUCUCAGGCGACGCUCCUUUAGGCUCGUUCCUCUCAGACGACCCGGUGGAGAUCGUCUGAGUCAUCAGAGGACGCACGCCGAGACCAAACCGCUACAGUCAUCAAGUCUUCAGAAAACCAUCUGACACCAUCUGAGAUGACCAGCAGGUCACAUGACCACCAGAGGCUAAAGAUCAGAUGAGUCAGAAGCUCUGAACAUGGAUCCAUCCGCAGAAGACCACCACUCUGCUAUGUUAGUGUUUAUGUAGAAGAUCUAAUCCUGAUUCUGGCGUGAACAUCGUAACGUCACGCCGUUUACGUAGCACAGAGCUAACAGCUAAACGCCGAUGCAAAGCUAACGUGUCCCCUCAGGACGGAGAAGAUGUCUGCAGGUGAGACAUGCUUCAGCCCGGACCGUAAAGCAGUGCGACAGCCAAACGCUCGUCUGUCUCUCUCUCGUCUCUGUCCAGGUGUCACCACAGCACACCACCUGUUUCCGUUAAGGUUUCAGUCUGCCUGUAAAAGUCCGUUUCCUGCAGCAACUCGGACACAAACACGGAGCCGGCCCACCCGGAGCGAUUAAUGAACCACGGGAAAUAGUCGACCGACAGCAAAACGUCGUGAGAACUCAGUCCAGAACAUGAUAAGUUCACGUAAACGUGCAGCUCGACCGUGGAUAUGUCCAGGAAGCAGCUUGCUCUUCCACCUGCAGCUUCAGUGAAGCUCUGGAGUCCCAUCAACCCCCAGAGAUCCUGACCCGUUCAUCAGCCUCGGACCUCAGAGGGAUCCGACUCGUCCAGCUGCACCGGUGCUGCAGCGGCCUCCAUGUUCAUGACACCAGAGGUAGCGCGACCUCCUGCUGGGACCAAACCAGGUUCCACGUAACUGAAGCAGUACCAAAGCCUGGUGUCAGAGCAGGUCAGACCCGCUGACUCGGCCGGCCUCGAGUCUCUUUGGGGGAAAACGGAGAAAAGCAGGAAGAACAGAACCAAGAGAGGUUAGGAAAGAGACCAAGAGCCAGCGUAGUAAUGACAAGAUGAAUAAGUUAAGUCUGCACCCUGACACACGGCCGAGACCCAAACCCUAACAGACAGCAUGUUUUAGUUGUUUCCCCGCUUCAACACACCUGGGUUUAAUCAGCAGGUGAUCAACAGAGCCUCGGCCCCCAGGGAGGGGAGCUGGGGUCACCAGGAACUCACAAACACAAGCGAGAGGUUGUGUUUGUGAAAGGAGAACAGGUGGAAGACCCGAGUCUCCUCCUGGGUCGAACGGGUCGGUUAAGGUUCUGGUGCUGAUAACGACCUCUGACCCUGUCGUUACUGCUGAUGGAGGAACACAGCUUCUGUAGGACUAAAGUUCUGAACACACGAAAAGGUUCUGAUGGUACCAGCAGGACGGAUCCAUGCCAGACCCUCACAGGAGCUGAAAUCCAGGGCGCAAUGGCAGCGGUGUAGACGACAGCGGUGCCCUGACCAAUCACAAGCUUGCGUUCUCCGUCUCGUUCGAUGGAUGUUUAAAAAAGUGGGCUCGACUUCGUACGUACUUGUGUGCCUGGCGGGACCCUACGCAAGGACGGAUAAUGGCGUUGCGUGUCUCCGCACUGACGCAGACGGAGAAGCAUGAAUCAGCCCUAAGGCUUUAACAGGUCAGUAAUAUGGGGAGGAGCUUGACCAUGUAGAGCGUUGAAAGUUAUAAUCAGGAUUCUAAAAUGGACUCUAAAGUUAACGGGCAACCAGUGCAGAGACAUUAGAAUAGGAGUGAUGUGUGCUCUUCUGGGUAUCUUUACAGUAUGUUCUGAUGGGAAACAGGCUUCAACACAAACGGUUGUGUUCUGCUUGGUCCUAGAGCUCAACCAGUGUCAAUUUAAUAUAGCGUAAUAUUAUUUUGGGAUGGUAAAAAGUGCAGGCGUCAAAACUUGACUUUGGAAAAAGUGGGGGGGACAUGUCCCUCCUGUCCCCCCCCCCAAAAAAAAAUUACGUCCAUGGUUAAACGCAUUCCCCAAACCAUGUCAGAAUCCUUAAAGGCACAGUACAGCUGAAUGUCAUCUGCAUAUAGGUGAUAGGAGACAUUAUGAAAAGAAUCAAGUAUCUGUCCAAGAGGGUGUAGAUACAACAGAAACAACAGUGGACCCAAAACAGAGCCUUGGGGUACCCCACAGAACAGAUGGGUAGAAUCUGACAUGAUUUGGUUUACACAGACACUGUAACGUCUGUUAGAAGGGUACGAUCUAAACCAGUCUAGAACAGUUCCAGAGAUCCCCGCCGAGUCACCAAGUCUGUUAAUAAGGUGUUGUGAUCAACAGUGUCAAAAGCUGCAGAAAGAUCUAACGAUACUAACACGGUGAACUCCCCGUUGUCUGCAGCCAUCAUGAUGUCACUGGAAACGUUAAGCAAAGCUGUUUCUGUUGAACGCUUCUUACGAAAGCCAGACUGGAACUUAUCAAAAUUCAUGUGAGGCGAAACAAUCUGGUUUAUGGUGUCACACGAGUUAUUUAAUCUGAGCUGAGGAUGUGGCCCUGGAGGUCUUUCAAAGAUGUUAAAAGUUGUGUGUGUCUGACAGCGCCAUGCUAGCAGAUGCUAACAUUCACCUCUGCAUCUGCUUCAGACAGAUUUGAAGGAAUGUCAGCAAACAGCUGCAGGUGACGUCGUCAUCAGUGGCAUUUUCACACCAGCUGGUGAAUCUGUGGUUCUGGUAGCAGGAGCAGGAAGGAAGCUGCUUUAUCCUCCUGGAGCAGACGUGUGACAGCGAUCGGCCCCGGGGCCCAGACUGGUUGGGUGUGUCUCAGUUUAAUUUCUACUGGACGGGUGGACUCUGAUCUUUCAAGCAGGCUCUUAAUGUAGAUGUGAACAUUUUCAUGAGCCCAAACCAGCUCCUCCAGAUGGACCCACAAGCUGCUGUCUGAAGCAACGUAACAGAACUUUUCCGUCUGCGUCGUCUCUGCCAGCACCAGGAGGAAGUUCUGCAGAACCUGGAGGUGUCCAUCAGGAGGAGGGUCUCAGGUGAACCUACAGGUGACAUCCUCAUCACACCUGAGGUGAUCCAGUCCAGUUCCAGAAGGAGGUCCAAAAGCACCAGAGACCUGCUUCAGCUCCAGGACUGGGCCCAUCUCUGACACACACCAGAACACAGUCAGGUUCUGUUGGGCUUUCCAGAACAUCUGGCUCCAUCUAACAGCUGAUUUAUUCAUCCACUAUCUUCAGAACAAUCCUACUCUCAUCUGCUGCUCCACAAAUUAUUCACAAGUCAUGAAAAAAUCACGAGUCUGAAGAAUUUUAUCACCAAGAGAAGAGGAACGUGUCAGAAGGUUUAUGAAAACGUCAGAGAGGAGCAAAUGAUCAGUUAUAAAUAACCCCUCUGAGUGUGUGUGUGUGUGUGUGUGUGUGUGUGUGUGCG